AACGAACGCUGGCGGCAUGCCUAACACAUGCAAGUCGAACGAGACCUUCGGGUCUAGUGGCGCACGGGUGCGUAACGCGUGGGAACCUGCCCUUAGGUUCGGAAUACCUCCCCGAAAGGGGUGCUAAUACCGGAUAAUGUCUUCUAACCAAGGAUUUAUCGCCUUUGGAUGGGCCCGCGUUGGAUUAGCUAGUUGGUAGGGUAAAAGCCUACCAAGGCGACGAUCCAUAGCUGGUCUGAGAGGAUGAUCAGCCACACUGGGACUGAGACACGGCCCAGACUCCUACGGGAGGCAGCAGUGGGGAAUAUUGGACAAUGGGCGAAAGCCUGAUCCAGCAAGGCCGCGUGAGUGAUGAAGGCAUUAGGGUUGUAAAGCUCUUUUACCCGGGAUGAUAAGGACAGUACCGGGAGAAUAAGCUCCGGCUAACUCCGU
rnacentral:rRNA from 1 species